UACGUAGGGGGCAAGCGUUGUCCGGAUUUAUUGGGCGUAAAGAGCGUGUAGGCGGCCUUACAGGUCAGCUGUGAAAACUCGAGGCUCAACCUCGAGACGUCGGUUGAAACCGUAUGGCUAGAGUCCGGAAGAGGAGAGUGGAAUUCCCGGUGUAGCGGUGAAAUGCGCAGAUAUCGGGAAGAACACCAGUGGCGAAGGCGGACUCACUGGCCCGGUACGUGACGCUGAGGUGCGAAAGCGUGGGGAGCAAACAGG
rnacentral:rRNA from 1 species